AGAUUGAACGCUAGCGGGAUGCUUUACACAUGCAAGUCGAACGGCAGCGCGGACUUCGGUCUGGCGGCGAGUGGCGAACGGGUGAGUAAUAUAUCGGAACGUGCCCAGUAGCGGGGGGAUAACUACGCGAAAGCGUGGCUAAUACCGCAUACGCCCUACGGGGGAAAGAGGGGGAUUCCUCGGAACCUCUCACUAUUGGAGCGGCCGAUAUCAGAUUAGCUUGUUGGUGAGGUAAAGGCUCACCAAGGCCGCGAUCUGUAGCUGGUUUGAGAGGACGACCAGCCACACUGGGACUGAGACACGGCCCAGACUCCUACGGGAGGCAGCAGUGGGGAAUUUGGACAAUGGGGGAAACCCUGAUCCAGCCAUCCCGACGUGUGCGAUGAAGGCCUUCGGGUUGUAAAGCACUUUGGCUAGGAAGAAACGGACGUGCCCUAACGUACGGACGUACGACGUGACGGUACCUGCCAGAAUAAGACACCGGACUAACUACGUACGCCAGCACGCCGACGGUAAUC
rnacentral:rRNA from 1 species